CUCUCUCUUCAUUAAUUUAAUCCUAUUAAUGUCUAAUCUCCUGCUCCUUCAUUUACAUUCUUUUUCUUCACCAAUUUAAUAUCAUUAAUGUCUAUCUCCUCCCCCUUCAAAGUAUUUUUCAACAAACUUUCUCCUCCUUAUCCUCCUGCACUCUCUCUCUUCCCCUAUCCUCUCCAUGUCUCUCUCUCCCCCUUUCUCCAUAGCUCACACUUCUUUCUCCUCCUUAACAUUUUUGAUAGUUCUUUUGUUACAUUUUCUUAUAUAAAUGUAUAUGCAUUUCAUUAUCUUUUCUUCUAUUUCAACCUCAAAUAAUGUCAAGGGUAUGAAACAUAUCAUUGAUGAGCUUCCACAACAUCCUCCAAGGUUUGGCAGCUCAUGCAAUGCCAAGUUUCUACAAGUGUUUGAAGAAAUUCUGUCAAAUGAAGUAAUUAAGAUGUUCAUAAAGACAUGCUUUGGCGAAUCGUUGAAAAAAUUACAACAACAAAAAAAAAAAAGAGGAGAAGAUUGAUUCUGCAAAUAGAAUAGGGAGAAGAAAAUUUUGAAAAUACAUAUAAUAACUAAUUAUGUUUUUUGGAGA